ACCCGCACAAGGCAGCGGAGCGUGUGGUUUAAUUCGUUGCUACACGAAGAACCUUACCAGGGUUUGACAUGCAAGUGGUAGGAAUCCGAAAGGUCGACGACCCUUCGGGGAGCUUGCACAGGUGCUGCAUGGCUGUCGUCAGCUCGUGUCGUGAGAUGUUCGGUUAAGUCCGCUAACGAGCGCAACCCUCGUCGUGUGUUAUACGUGUCACACGAUACUGCCGGUAUCAAGCCGGAGGAAGGUGGGGAUGAUGUCAAGUCAGCAUGGCCUUUAUAUCCUGGGCUACACACACGCUACAAUGGCAGAUACAAUAGGUUGCGAAACCGCGAGGUGGAGCCAAUCCUACAAAGUCUGUCUCAGUUCAGAUUGUAGGCUGCAACUCGCCUGCAUGAAGUUGGAGUUGCUAGUAAACGCAGGUCAGCUAUACUGCGUUGAAUACGUUCCCGGGGUUU
rnacentral:rRNA from 1 species